CAGUAGCCGCGGGAAUACGAAGGGGGCUAGCGUUGUUCGGAUUUACUGGGCGUAAAGCGCACGUAGGCGGAUGAUUAAGUCAGGGGUGAAAUCCCAGAGCUCAACUCUGGAACUGCCUUUGAUACUGUCGAUCUGGAGUAUGGAAGAGGGUAGUGGAAUUCCGAGUGUAGAGGUGAAAUUCGUAGAUAUUCGGAAGAACACCAGUGGCGAAGGCGACUACCUGGUCUGGCAUUGACGCUCAUGUGCGAAAGCGUGGGGAGCAAACAGGAUUAGAUACCCCAGUAGUCCCUGUCUCUUAUAC
rnacentral:rRNA from 1 species